rnacentral:rRNA from 1 species
UACAGAGGGUGCAAGCGUUUGUUCGGAAUUAUUGGGCGUAAAGCGCGUGUAGGCGGCUUUGCAAGUCGCGUGUGAAAGCCCCCCGGCUCAACUGGGGAGGGUCACGCGAUACUGAUCGACUGGAAGGCAGGAGAGGGUAGUGGAAUUCCCGGUGUAGUGGUGAAAUGCGUAGAGAUCGGGAGGAACAUCAGUGGCGAAGGCGGCCAUCUGGAUCAACACUGACGCUGAGGCACGAAAGCGUGGGGAGCAAACAGG